rnacentral:rRNA from 1 species
AUUGAACGCUGGCGGCAGGCCUAACACAUGCAAGUCGAGCGAGCGGCGGACGGGUGCGUAAUGCCUGGGAAUUGCCCAGUCGAGGUGGAUAACAGUUGGAAACGACUGCUAAUACCGCAUACGAUUGGCUUGCCCCGGUGGGAGUAGCUAGUUGGUGAGGUAAUGGCUCACCAAGGCGACGAUCCCUAGCUGGUCUGAGAGGGUGAUCAGCGACAAUGGAAGUGAGACACGGUCCAGACGGCUACGGGAGGCAGCAGUGGGGAAUAUUGCACAAUGGGGGAAACCCUGAUGCAGCCAUGGGGCGGGUGUGAAGGAGGCGUUCGGGUUGUAAAGCACGUUCAGAGAGGAGGCGUAACUCGCAGAAGAAGCGCCGGCUGACUCCGUGCCAGCAGCCGCGGUAAUUC